AGCGAACGCUGGCGGCAGGCCUAACACAUGCAAGUCGAACGGACCCUUCGGGGUUAGUGGCGGACGGGUGAGUAACACGUGGGAACGUGCCUUUAGGUUCGGAAUAACUCAGGGAAACUUGUGCUAAUACCGAAUGUGCCCUUCGGGGGAAAGACUUAUCGCCUUUAGAGCGGCCCGCGUCUGAUUAGCUAGUUGGUGAGGUAAAGGCUCACCAAGGCGACGAUCAGUAGCUGGUCUGAGAGGAUGAUCAGCCACAUUGGGACUGAGACACGGCCCAAACUCCUACGGGAGGCAGCAGUGGGGAAUCUUGCGCAAUGGGCGAAAGCCUGACGCAGCCAUGCCGCGUGAAUGAUGAAGGUCUUAGGAUUGUAAAAUUCUUUCACCGGGGACGAUAAUGACGGUACCCGGAGAAGAAGCCCCGGCUAACUUCGUGCCAGCCGCCGCCGUAAUAC
rnacentral:rRNA from 1 species